AUUGAACGCUGGCGGCAGGCUUAACACAUGCAAGUCGAACGAUGAAGAUAUAGCUUGCUAUAUUGGAUUAGUGGCGGACGGGUGAGUAACACUUAGGAAUCUACCUUUUAGCGGGGGAUAGCUCGGGGAAACUCGAAUUAAUACCGCAUAAUUUCUACGGAAUAAAGAGGGCUUUUAGCUCUCACUAGAAGAUGAGCCUAAGUAAGAUUAGCUAGUUGGUGGGGUAAAAGCCUACCAAGGCGACGAUCUUUAGCUGGUCUGAGAGGAUGAUCAGCCACACUGGGACUGAGACACGGCCCAGACUCCUACGGGAGGCAGCAGUGGGGAACAUUGGACAAUGGGGGCAACCCUGAUCCAGCCAUGCCGCGUGUGUGAAGAAGGCCUUUUGGUUGUAAAGCACUUUAAGCAGUGAAGAAGACCUAUUGGUUAAUACCCAAUAGCGAUGACAUUAACUGCAGAAUAAGCACCGGCUAACUCUGUGCCAGCAGCCGCGGUAAUACAGAGGGUGCAAGCGUUAAUCGGAAUUACUGGGCGUAAAGCGAGCGUAGGUGGUUAAAUAAGUCAGAUGUGAAAGCCCUGGGCUCAACCUAGGAACGGCAUCUGAAACUAUUUAACUAGAGUAGGUGAGAGGGAAGUAGAAUUUCAGGUGUAGCGGUGAAAUGCGUAGAGAUCUGAAGGAAUACCGAUGGCGAAGGCAGCUUCCUGGCAUCAUACUGACACUGAGGCACGAAAGCGUGGGUAGCAAACAGG
rnacentral:rRNA from 1 species